UACGAAGGGGGCUAGCGUUGCCCGGAAUGACUGGGCGUAAAGGGCGCGUAGGCGGAUGGCACAGUCAGAUGUGAAAUUCCCGGGCUUAACCUGGGGGCUGCAUUUGAUACGUGUGAUCUAGAGUGAGGAAGAGGGUCGUGGAAUUCCCAGUGUAGAGGUGAAAUUCGUAGAUAUUGGGAAGAACACCGGUGGCGAAGGCGGCGACCUGGUCCAUUACUGACGCUGAGGCGCGAAAGCGUGGGGAGCAAACAGG
rnacentral:rRNA from 1 species